GACGAACGCUGGCGGCGUGCUUAACACAUGCAAGUCGAACGGAAAGGCCCUGCUUGCAGGGUACUCGAGUGGCGAACGGGUGAGUAACACGUGGGUGAUCUGCCCUGCACUUCGGGAUAAGCCUGGGAAACUGGGUCUAAUACCGGAUAGGAGCCAUUUUUAGUGUGAUGGUUGGAAAGUUUUUUCGGUGUAGGAUGAGCUCGCGGCCUAUCAGCUUGUUGGUGGGGUAAUGGCGUACCAAGGCGGCGACGGGUAGCCGGCCUGAGAGGGUGGACGGCCACAUUGGGACUGAGAUACGGCCCAGACGCCGACGGGAGGCAGCAGUGGGGAAUAUUGCACAAUGGGCGCAAGCCUGAUGCAGAGACGCCGCGUGGGGGAUGACGGCCUUCGGGUUGUAAACUCCUUUCGCUAGGGACGAAGCUUUUUGUGACGGUACCUAGAGAAGAAGCACCGGCUAACUACGUG
rnacentral:rRNA from 1 species